CUGAAGGAGACUAAGGAGAACAGUUACGCCUCGACACACCAGGACAAGCAACAAAACUAACCCUCCCCUACCAGCCCAGGGCGGCCGGGUGAGCACCGGCCGGUCAGGGACACACAGGGAGCAAAGCAACCUUAGCUAGCAGGGGGAGAUGCUCACAGCACUACCAACUUACAACAACAAAAACAAGGCAAAAAAAAAAACAAAACAAAACAAAAAAAAAAACCACCUAUAGUUAAUCUCUGGGAAGGGUACGCCGUCACUUGAGGGCUGAAGCCCGCUGACCUGAGAGCAAGCUCCGACCCGUGCCGCCGGCUGGGCGGGAAGCGCGAAAGCACCGCCUCACACUCAGCCCCGCACGCACCGGCGACCGUCAGAAGCACCGCCGCGCAGGGAAACAUCCUGAAGGGAAGGGUCUCCCGCCUUGAGCCUUGCCUCAGCUGAGCGCCAUGUGAGGCGCUGCGGCGAUAAUUGCGCUUAAAGGCUGCUGGUGCUUGUCGGCCGUGUUUGUGCUGAAACAUUAAGGAAAAGGAAGACCCUUUCUAAUGUAUGGAUGCAGACUGAACAUUGUAAAAUGUCAUCGGACUCCACUAGAAAGCCUCUCCUCCAUGAAACUAACCUAGUUGAUUGGUCUGUCUUAAUGGAUAUAGCUAUCUCAUCCAGCGAAGUUCUUGAUGCAGCCUGCAUGCAACUGACAGUAGAAUUUGACUUUCACAGGUCUAUAGCUCACAUACAGCUUGUGCUUGGAAGACAGCUAUCAUAGGAGACUUUUGUUUCCUACUUACCUAAGUCUUGCAAUGUUUAUAAUUGUUACAGUCAUUCAAGUGGCAAUCAUCAAAUAAGUGGAAAGAAGCACCUCAGGUUUUCCAUUCUCCUUGUGAAUCUAUCAGAUGCUUCUAAUGUGAACUCAAGCUGUCAGCAGUAUAAAAUCAAUGCACAACAACAAUACACACACACAUACAAGCAUCUCUGUUACCGCUGAAAAAUGUAUUGAUCUUGACAAGGAUUAGCUAACUUUUUGAGAGAAAGUUUGUUAAUGUCAGUUCUUACAAAUAGUUUAGAAAGGAAAAAGGCAAUUUACAGUUUGCCUUUAGGCUAUGAAUUUUUUGUUCAUUGUCUCAGAAAAAUGUUCUUGAAAAUAAAGCUUAGGUGAAGCAAUAUAGUCUUUAAGAA
rnacentral:lncRNA from 1 species